rnacentral:rRNA from 1 species
AUGCAAGUCGAGCGAGAAAGUAUCUUCGGAUAUGAGUAGAGCGGCGGACGGGUGAGUAACGCGUAGGAAUCUACCUAGUAGAAGGGGAUAGCCCGGGGAAACUCGGAUUAAUACCGUAUACCUCCUAAGGGAGAAAGAGGGCCUCUCUUGAUGCUCUCGCUAUUAGAUGAGCCUGCGUAAGAUUAGCUUGUUGGUGAGGUAAUGGCUUACCAAGGCUACGAUUCUUUAGCUGGUCUGAGAGGACGAUCAGCCACAUUGGGACUGAGACACGGCCCAGACUCCUACGGGAGGCAGCAGUGGGGAAUAUUGGACAAUGGGCGCAAGCCUGAUCCAGCCAUACCGCGUGUGUGAAGAAGGCCUUCGGGUUGUAAAGCACUUUAAGCAGGGAGAAAAAGUUAUAAGUUAAUACCUUAUAACCGUGAUGUUACCUGCAGAAUAAGCACCGGCUAAUUCCGUGCCAGCAGCCGCGGUAAUACGGAAGGUGCAAGCGUUAAUCGGAAUUACUGGGCGUAAAGCGCGCGUAGGUGGUUUGUUAAGUUGGAUGUGAAAGCCCUGGGCUCAACCUAGGAACUGCAUCCAAAACUAACUCACUAGAGUACGAUAGAGGGAG